UCGUUGUUUCCGAUGAUGGUGCAAUACAGGUGAUCGGAUAGAUGGGUGUUUCAUCCGUCUCGAAGUUCACCGAUAUUUCUUCAAUAGAGGAAGCAA
rnacentral:rRNA from 1 species